rnacentral:rRNA from 1 species
GACCAGACUCCUACGGGAGGCAGCAGUGGGGAAUAUUGCACAAUGGGGGAAACCCUGAUGCAGCAACGCCGCGUGAGUGAAGAAGGUUUUCGGAUUGUAAAGCUCUGUUAGCAGGGAAGAGGAAGGACGGUACCUGCAGAGGAAGCCACGGCUAACUACGUGCCAGCAGCCGCGGUAAUACGGAGGAUGCGAGCGUUAUCCGGAUUUAUUGGGUUUAAAGGGUGCGCAGGCGGAAUGUCAAGUCAGCGGUAAAAUUUCGGGGCUCAACCCCGUCGUGCCGUUGAAACUGGCGUUCUUGAGUGAGCGAGAAGUAUGCGGAAUGCGUGGUGUAGCGGUGAAAUGCAUAGAUAUCACGCAGAACUCCGAUUGCGAAGGCAGCAUACCGGCGCUCAACUGACGCUCAUGCACGAAAGCGUGGGUAUCGAACAGGAUUAGAUACCCUAGUAGU